ACCUAGCAAAGGUGUGUCCGCACAGCCACGUUGGCCUGGCUCCUGGAACAUUGGGAGCAAGUUUGAGCUGCAUUGAUAAUUAUAAGAAUAAUAAUAA